CGAAGCGUUUCUUUCGGAGUAGCAGAAACCGCGCAGAACGUCGUUGGCUCUCGUUGAGUGCGAACGCGCGCUUGUUAAUUGGUGCGUAAUAUAGGUCUUUUUUUUAAUACACCUACAACGCCGUCAGGAUAAUAGUAUUCUUUUCGCGUAGAUAUAUAUCUUACUCUUUAUCACUCUUUCUCUCUUUCUCUUUUUCUCUCUUUCUCUCUCUCUCUCUCUCUCUCUCUUUUUCUCUUUCUCUCUUUCUCUCAUAAAGAAGAAUAUAUAUCGAGACACGCUUCUUUCGAAAAAGAAAAGAAAGAUUUAACAAAUAAGGAGGAACAUCCGAGUCUUCUUUCUCAGUAGGGUAGUAAAUUGGAAGAGAGAAAGUAACAAGGAGAAAAAUGGCAGAGGACAAGAACGAGACAAGCCCGAACGCUGAGGGUGAAAACCCGCCACAGGAAGCAACACCGCCCGCAAAACAGGAAAAAGAGGAGCCUAAGGAAACGAAGGAGGAAGAGAAAAAGGCCGAGGAGAAUGGCGAGGGUGAAAAGGCGAGAGAGAAUGGCGAGGAAAAGCCGACGCCAGAGCCUAAGGAUAUGCGAGCCAUCGUGCUCAACGGUUUCGGCGGACUCAAAAGUGUGAAAGCUCUGAGAAAGCCCGAACCCACCCUUAGCGAAGGAGAAGUUCUUAUACGCGUCAAGGCAUGCGGUCUAAACUUUCAAGAUUUAAUGGCACGACAAGGUGCGAUCGAUUCACCCCCAAAAACACCCUUCAUUAUGGGAUCAGAGUGUGCUGGAGAUAUCGAACAAGUUGGCGAGGGAGUCGAGAAUUUUAAAGUUGGUGACAGAGUCGUUGCAUUACCUGAUCAUAAAGCGUGGGCCGAAUUAGUAGCUGUUCCAGCGACAUCCGUUUUUGCAUUGCCAACUGGCAUGAGUUAUUUGGAUGCGGCUGCUACUACUAUGAAUUACACCGUAGCGUACAUCUUACUCUUCGAAUUGGCCAAUCUAACGCCUGGAAAGUCGCUUUUGUUACACAGUGCCGGUGGUGGCGUUGGUCAAGCUGUGAUCCAACUUGCUAAGACUGUGAAAGAUGUAACCAUUUUUGGUGUCUGCAGCAAGUCAAAGCACGAGGCUCUUAAAUCAUCCGGCACUAUAGAUUAUUUGCUAGAAAGAGGCACAGAUUAUAGUAACGAAGUCAGAAAAAUUUCAUCCGAAGGCGUAGAUAUUGUCUUGGAUUGUUUAUGCGGCGAGGAAUGUAACAAGGGAUAUGCCCUCUUGAAACCUAUGGGAAAAUAUAUUCUUUAUGGUUCUAGUAACGUCGUAACCGGCGAAACAAAAAGCUUUUUCUCGGCGGCACGAUCGUGGUGGCAGGUAGACAAAGUUUCUCCCAUAAAGUUAUUCGACGAGAAUAAAACGUUGUCCGGCUUGAAUCUUCGUCAUUUAAUGUAUCAACACGGUGGCCACGCAUAUGUCCGUCGGGCUGUUAAUCAAGUAUUCUCAUUGUGGACUGAGGGUAAAAUAAAGCCCGUGAUGGAUUCAACAUGGGCUCUUGAGGACGUGCCCGAAGCAAUGCAGAAGAUGCACGAUCGAAAGAAUAUAGGAAAAAUCGUACUCGAUCCGAGCUUGGAGCCCAAACCAAAACCAGCUACGCCAGCGAAAGGAAAAGCAAAAGACAAGAAGACUACCAAUCAAGAAGAAAAGAAAGCAUCGAGCGUGGAAUCCGAGGAAGGCGAAAAGAAGAAAGAGCCUGAAUUGACAAACGGAACAUCUGAGGAUAAGUCUGAUAGUGACUCGAAGGAAAAAGAAUCAAGCUGAAUUGUCGGCGCUAGCUAAUCAUAAUAAUAAAAAAGAAAAAAAAAAAAAGAAAAAAAAAAGAAAAAAAAAAAAGAAAAAAAUUGUCAUUUAUGAGAAGCAAGAACUUUCACCGAUGUAUCAAGAAACCCAUAUUGUUACUGUCUGACGAAAAAAAAAAAAAAGAAAAAAAAAAAGAAAAAAAAAUAAUUUAAUUCGACUUCUAUAUUACUUGCAUGCAGUUUGAUGAAACGAUAUAACGUAAUCGGAGAUUAUGAUUCUUGAGCCCAAGACUUAGAAACAAAAAGAGUAAGUUUUCUCAAUUAAAGAAAAGGAUUGAUAGUAGAUGUAAGUUGUUAACGAAUCGUCGGACAUUAUCAAUUUUCAUUAUAAUAGUUUAGAAAAAGGACUCUGCUUAAUAUAUCUGCUCUAUUAAACAUUGAAAGUUCACAAGGCUAAUAACUGAUACAGAAACAUCAACCAACAAUCACCUAAUUAUAUCGGAAAAAAAGUAUAAAAUGGGAACAACAAAAAUAGAAAUAUCAUUUUGACGCGGUCCACUAGUAGUUUACAAUUGCUAGAUAUAUUAUCUUUAUCCUUUAACACUGGCCGAACAGUUUAGUUCGUACAGCACAACGUAGCCAUUAGUUAUUCGUGAAAAGAAGAGGUCAUUUGAUAACCUGAAUCAUCUCUGUGAUUAUUUUAGUAUGUUCGUGUAAUGUAUGUUAUGCGUACUUACCAAAAUACUCCAGGUCUCUCAUAGUUAUAAAAAUGGAAUUCAUUAGGAACAUAAAUAUUCUAAUCUUAUGUCUAUUAUCGACUGUCCAGAAAUGAAAUAAUAUAGUAGUCAGUCUUAGUAUUUUAUAUCGUUUUUAUAUUCUGAUACAAUUUCUACGUGAUUUUUUAUGUAUAAUUUUAAUUUAAUGGGAUAUGUUUAUUUAUUCUGAUUUGUUGAGAGACCCAUAUGAAGUUACAUUGAAGGAAAAAUAAUAACACUGAGUUAGUUACAUUAUAUAUUCAUGCCAAUUUUUUCGCUCUAAUAUUAUUAUAUUGACCAUGGUAUUGUAAACAAGGAAACAAACAAAAAGAAAAACUUAUUUAUCUUUUAUUAUGUCUUAUUAUCUAUUUUAUUAUUUAUUGAUAAACGAAAAUGCACGAUUGUCUGAAUAUUUGUAAAAAAAAGAUUAUUAAAUUUUGAUAAUGUCUCGAAAUCUUUAAAAUAUAUCCGCUGGUGCAACCGUAUAUCAAAUUGACUGCUACUGGAGAGUUGAAAAAAGGAAAAGAAAAAACACGAGAAGUCACAUAAAUCAUUUUUCAAAUAAAUUGUGGUAACUUUUGCAACGAUUUUUCAACGACCUAUUUUUGAUAAUAAUUUUUAAAUGCCUGCGUUUUUUGAACGAAAUACAGAUCAAUAAAUCCGAGCUCAGACGCUCAUAAAGUAUUGAAACGGAAGUCUUAGAGUUGCCUUUCAUCAAUUUCAUUCGUAUCAGUCAGGAUAUGUAGUUUUUGUACCAAUACAAGUAUUGUAUCAUCAAUACUAAUUUAGAUUUACUAUUCAGAAUGUUACUUGCUAGCUAGAAAUUUCUCGAUCUAUUUAAUAAGAUGAAAAAAAAAAUGAAAAGAAAUACUGCUUUAUAAUAUGCAAUAAUAAUAAUAAUAAUAAUAAUAAUAAUAAUAAUAAUAAUAAUAAUAAUAAUACACGAUAAUACGAAAAAAAAUUAAUUGAAAAUACUUCAUUAUUUUAUGCAAAUCUUUCAAUUUCAAAUAAAUUUCUCAUUACUUGACGAAUAAUUAGGAAACUUGUAGAUUUUCGAAAUAGAUAUUUAGUGACAAAUUUGUUGCCGUUAAGCGCGCAAGGGACGACGUAUUCGUCAAAAUGAGAGAAAGAGAGAGCGAGAGAGAGAGAGAGAGAGAGACAUUUCUUCGAACGAGAAAAAGAAAAAAAAUCUGUGUACAGCGAGAAUGUUCAUGAAAUUGUAUGAUUUGUCGAUCCUUUAAAGCUUUUCCGAAAAGCUUUAAAUUAUAGCCAGCUUGCUUUUAUUUAACGAAACGUACGGCCUUUAAUGUUUACGUAAGGAUACUUGCUAUUGUAAGAUCUAUUACGAAUGAAAAAAUCCUCGUAAUGAUAUUAAAAAAUAGAAAAGAAAAGAAAAAGAAAAAAUUAAAAAAAAAGAAAAGAAAAAAGUUAAAAAAAAAUAAACCAAGAAAGGGAAAGAUUUAGGUUCGUCGAAGAGUUUCUCGAACGAAGUGUUACUCUAAUUGAAAAAAAGGAACACGUUUGAUGGAAAAAAAAAAAAAAAAAGAAACAAAACAAAAAAAUGCAUAUCUUUCCGAAGCGUUUCGAACCAUUUCAUUCGAUUGGUUCCGCUCUAGGAUUUGAUACUAAUCACUGUAUACCAAGAUAAUCUGUAUUAUACUAAUCGCUAUCGGAAAAUUACGAGUUUAUAUACCGAGGAUAUUGUUCCCACUUUCAUCGCUAGAAAUAGGGAAACGUAAUAGUGACUAAAGAAAAGAAAAAAAAAAAAAAUGUUUUCUAGUAUCAAUACUGCCGUAUCAAAAAAUCUCUUGGUCCAAAAUUACAUCGUAUAUUAUAUAUUAUCAAUUACCAUUACUCGUGAGAAAAAGUGUGUAUCGAGAUUAGGGAUGAAAAAGAGGAGAAGAAAACAAAAGAGCUAAGAAACUUUAAAUAUGGGUGCAUAUUUUGAGAAGUCUUUAAAAAAAAAAAAAAAAAAAAAAAAAAAAAAAGAAAAAAAGAAAAAAAAAAUAAGAGAAGAAUACAUCCGUUUCGACGUGACGCAACGAUGUUACGCGAUAUAUUCAUACGAAAAAGAAAAUACCAACAACAACAUGAUGUAAUAUUAUCGCAUAAACAAAACGUAUGAAAAAUACACACAUCACAUUGUAUAUUUUACGUAAGGCUUUAAAUGUUUAAUCAAAUAACUAUUAUAUUAUAAUAUAUCUAUAUAUUUGUAUCGAUGGUUUUUCCCGCCCUAUUUGAUUUUAGAGUUUAGGUCUGUAUGUCACGAGAGAACGUCAAAAUGCGAGUGUUUAGUGGCACACUGAGGAACCCCCCCUCCCCGAAUAAAAAGAAAAACUUUUUUCGAUGAAUAACAAUGAAUUGUAAUAUUGUAAUUACAAUGUUUGUUGUGAGCGAUUUGGUGAUGAACGGUAAUUAGGACAAAACUUAAUGAACUUCGCGCGUUAUGAAUCCUCAGACUGGGCUAAGCAAAGCAGUAGUAACGUUUUGGAAGCUUUAGAAGCUUCUCGCUAGAUGUCGUUCAUAAUUCUCAUUGAAAAUACGCGCGAAUUAUGAACAAGAUCUAUCCUCUUCGACUUGCGCUCGAUUAUUUCGUCGACCGAAGGACGAUCAAAAUUUCCUUUCUCAUCUUUCUUGCUUUUUUCCCCCUUUUUUUUUUUUUUGUUUCUAAACUUCUUCGGAAUUAUAAUCGAGCGCAAGUUAAUUAGAAUCAACAAUAGAAAGUAGUUGGAUAAUUGAUUAAAAAUACAGAUACGCAUUUGAAAACAGAUAACCGAACUGGAUUAUUGGUAAUCUGCUUUCAUUUUCAUCGUAGAAUCACUUGUAAAGACUUUUUUAGACAUUCUUCAAAAAUUUCAUCAUUUCAUUUAUCUAGAUAUUAUUUUUAAUAUGAUUGAUAUGUCGGAACGUAUAUAUGUUGUCGAGCAUAGUCCUUCUAGGAAAAUCCGUACCAAGGACAUAGAAAUUUGCUAUGCUCCAGUAAUGAUUUGUCCUUUAAACCAUUCAAUAUAAACAAUAAGGGGUUCAUCAGCGAUAGGUCUUGUAUUAUUUAAGAAAAUUUCGUUGAAUAGGGCGCGAUGCGUAUAUUUUAUCUCAAGAGAAAAAGAGAAAGAGAUAGCAACAUCGAAGAGAGAGUAUAGGACCUACGAUUUCGCAAACGUGAUACAUUAUAAUUAUGUGUAAAAUUGUAAAAUUCGUCGCGAUAGUACGGGCAGAAUUAACGUGCAUUCUUUUUCCCUGAAUGAUUAUUAUCCUUCUUUAUCCGCCAUAAUAAUUUCUCCAAACGAUAGAAACGCACUCAGCAAGGGAAACGCGUUUAUCGCCCGUUCGUCGCAAGCUUGAUAUAUAGAUUGUAUUUUUGGCUUAUUAUUGUAAGACUGACUAUGUUGCUAUAUUAAAGAUUGCUUCAAAAAUA